CGUUGAAACACCCGUUCCCGUACGAUCACCUAAGUUAAGCAACGUCGAGCCUGGCCAAUACCUAGAUGGGCACCUGCUUGGGAAUACGAGGUGCAGUA